rnacentral:rRNA from 1 species
GACCCCUAGGCGGGCGUGCUAAUACAUGCAAGUCGAGCGCGGGAAGCCGGCGGACUCCUUCGGGAGGAAACCGGUGGAACGAGCGGCGGACGGGUGAGUAACACGUGGGCAACCUGCCGGACUGAUGGGAAUAACCCCGGGAAACCGGGGCUAAUGCCCAAUACGCCCUGACCUCGCCUGAGGUCAGCGGCAAAGCAGGGAUCUUCGGAUCCUUGCACAGUCCGAUGGGCCCGCGGCGCAUUAGCUAGUUGGAGAGGUAAGGGCUCCCCAAGGCGACGAUGCGUAGCCGACCUGAGAGGGUGAUCGGCCACACUGGGACUGAGACACGGCCCAGACUCCUACGGGAGGCAGCAGUAGGGAAUCAUCCGCAAUGGGCGAAAGCCUGACGGUGCAACGCCGCGUGAGUGAUGAAGGUUUUCGGAUCGUAAAGCUCUGUUGACAGGGAAGAACCCACGCCAGUCGAACAGGCUGGCGUGCUGACGGUACCUGUCCAGAAAGCCCCGGCUAACUACGUGCCAGCAGCCGCGGUAAUACGUAGGGGGCAAGCGUUGUCCGGAAUUAUUGGGCGUAAAGGGCACGCAGGCGGUUUCGUCAGUCCGAUGUGACAGGCCACGGCUCAACCGUGGAAGGCCAUUGGAAACUGCGAAACUUGAGGACAGAAGAGGAGAGUGGAAUUCCACGUGUAGCGGUGAAAUGCGUAGAUAUGUGGAGGAACACCAGUGGCGAAGGCGACUCUCUGGUCUGUACCUGACGCUGAGGUGCGAAAGCAUGGGGAGCAAACAGGAUUAGAUACCCUGGUAGUCCAUGCCGUAAACGCUGAGUGCUAGGUGUUAGGGGUUUCGAUACCCGUAGUGCCGAAGCUAACGCAUUAAGCACUCCGCCUGGGGAGUACGACCGCAAGGUUGAAACUCAAAGGAAUUGACGGGCCCGCACAAGCGGUGGAGCAUGUGGUUUAUUCGACGCAACGCGAAGAACCUUACCAGAUCUUGACAUCUUCCGCUACGCCUCGAGAGAGGCGGUUCCCCUUCGGGGGACGGAAUGACAGUGGGUGCAUGGUUGUUCGUCAGCUCGUGUCGUGAGAUGUUGGGUUUAAGUCCCGCAACGAGCGCAAACCCCUAAUCUUAGGUGCCAGCAUUCAGUUUGGCACUCUAGUUGACUGCCGUUGACAACCGAGAGUUGGGAUGACGUCCAUCAUUCAUGCCUAUGAUCUGGCUUCACACAGGUCUACAUGAAUGUACACACCGGGAGCGCGUAUACUCGUCGCAG